ensembl:lncRNA
CCCAUUUAGACAAAAAUAUUUAUUAAAUUUUUUUACAAAAAUUGAAAUUAAAAUAUUUGUUAGAGAAUCCCAUGACAUUAGAACACAUGAAUAAGAAAGCAGUGUCUCAAUCAAUACUAAGCACUGACAGAAUCAGUGGAGCAACUAGAACUCUUAUAUUCCUGACAGGUGGGUAAAUGGCCUAGCCACCUGGCGAAAGAACAGCACUCCUUAUUUAGCUAACAAACACCGCCUGCACAAUGCAAAAAUUCCAAUCCUGGGCAUGUACUUAGGAGAAAUGAAAGUGUGUACCCACACAAAUCUGGAUGUGAAUAUUCACAAAAGCCUUAUUUAUAAAAGUCCCAAGCUGAAAACAACCCAGGCACCCAUUAACUGGCCAAUGGGUAAAUAAAUCAAGGUACACCUAUAUGAAAGAAUACUUCUCAGCAAUAAAAAGGAAGUAGAGGCACAUGCUACUACAUGGAUGAAUCUCAAAAGAAUUAUUCUAAGAGAAAGAGGCCAGGUAGGGAAAUAAAAGUAGGCUUGCAUUUGUAGAACAUUCCUGCAAAGCUAAAACUGAAGGGUGGAUGAUUAGGGAGCACGAGGAGGCAUGGCCUCAGAAGCAGGAAAAGGGCUCCACCCGUCUCUCUCACAGAGCCUGCCUCACGUGCUGUCUUUCCAUGACCAUGUGACAGUCUCACUGGACCCUGCGCAUGCAGCAGGACUGACCAUAUGGCCAGACCCCCACCCUGGGCCCCCUUGUUGUGAGGACCCUCACCUGGCUGGCUGUGGAUGCUUUGCAGAUCCACCUCUCAUUCCAGACAGGACCAAGGUCUAGAUGUGAGAGGCAGGCAGAGGCCUCAAUGACCCUGCCUCCUCCCAUCUAGACUUAGCAUGAGGCCCUGAACUGUGCAACAUGGCUAGGACUCCUGGCUCUUGGACUCCUGGCAGCUUUGUGUACUGACAAAAGCACAAAAGGACAGACAGGAUGAUUACUGAGUCUCAAACCUCUGACACUAGGGAAAGAUCUAUUUACCCAGUGAAUUUAUUUACCUAGGGAAAGGUCUAUUUACCCAUUUGCAUGUGCACACACACAGACACAAAUGUCCAAAAUCAUCUUAUCAUCUUGAUGUCCAUUUUCCUCCUCCUCUGGGAAUUUUCUCCUGCUGCUGAAUGGCUUGAUCCGAUCACUCUUCAGCUCAGAAACCUUCACUUAUACUCCAGAGCAACCAUAUUUUAUCAGCCAGGAUUCUGAGCUGCAAGCAACAGAAACCAACACUGGCUAGUUUUCAAACAAAAGAUUUAUUUAAAAGUUCAAAAGAGAUUUCAUUAAUUUCCUUUCAGUCUAGGAACAAUUCUAAGAGACUACAACCUAGAGAUGAUGCCUAGAAUUGUACUGAUCCGAUGAGGACCCCAUUGCCACCAAAGCUGAACCUGGAAGUGCAGUGUGCAGCUGCUGCCUGCCCCUGCUGGUGCCACCCUCACCAGAAUCCACUCUUGUGACUUUUGCCAAUCACCUUGGGCCCUGUGCAACUUAUUGGUUGAGUGUCUGUCAUGUGCCCACUCCUUUCCCAGCAAGGAGGCUGGGAAAGGGAGUAUUUUGUAGUUUCAACUCCUACUUUCAGAGCUGAGCUCUUCGCUAACUUUGAAAGGGGAUUCAGAUGCUGGGUUGCCAAGAAAAUAACACAUGCCCUCAACACUAAAAGAAUUCUAACUCCUUGAUAGUAGCAAUCCUCUAUAAUCUGACUUAACCUCCACUUAGAGAAAGCCACUUUAUACAUAAACUGAAAAAAUACCUAUUUGCUAAACACGCCUGCUUUCCUUCUGCAAACCUCUUUUAUUUUUUUUAUUUUUUUAUUUUUUAUUUUUGGCACUGGGGAUUGAACACAGGACCUUUGCAAUGAGAUACAUCUUAGCCCUUUUCUUAAAUUUUUAUUUUGAGAUAGGAUAGAAAAAUUCCUAAGUUUAUGAGACUGAACUUGAACUUUAAAUCCUCCUGCCUCAGCCUCCCAGAGUGCUGGGAUUACAGGCAUGUGUCACUGUACCUGGCUUGCAUGCAUAUUUCUGCCACCCAGCUCUUGCUAUGUAACAAACAAUCACAUAAUUCUCUGCAACACAAGUGUUAUUUCUCAUUCUCUGGGGCUGGGCCGAACCCAUCUCUGCUGGGCUUAGUUGGAAGCUCUGCAUCAAGUUGUGGGACUGACUGGGCUUUGCAAAGCAGCUUUGCUUGACACAGGUUUGAUCUGGCCCAGGCUGAAGCAGCAGCAGAUCUCCAAAGGCAAAUUCUUCUCAUGGCCAUAGUGGAAAUACAAGGAGGAGCGGGGUGGUGACCCUGACAAUCCAAGCAUGUUAGAGGCCUUCUCUUGUAUCCCAUCUAUUACCAUCCUUCAAUCAAACCAACCCAUACACAUGGCUAAGCCUGAAGCCAAGGGCAAAGCAAGUGUGGUCUGCCUCUAUAGAAGGGUCUAUAAUUCCAUGGCAAAGGAUAUUCACACACCAAGGCAUGAGAGAUUGGAACAAUAAUUCAGUCCACCCCAAUGGCUGGAUCUUCCCCCAGAUUGCAGCUCCUUCUGAGCAUGUCCUGUGUAGCUCCAGUGGACCAAGAAUGUAGCUCUCAAGAAAUGGUAAAUGGGGCCGGGGAUUUAGCUCAGUGGUUCUGCCGCCUGUCUUACAGGUGCAAGGUCCUGAGUUCUAUCCUCAGCACCAAAAAAAAAAAAGAGAGAGAGAGAGGAGCGUAAAUGCGUGAGUGGACCACAAGCAUGGAGAGGAAGAGGCUGGUAGUGAGCAUGUACAUUCACUGAGAACACAGUGGAUGGCCUGGCCCUCUGGCUCCAACCUGUGGUUCCCCAUCCGCCACAUGGCCCUGAUUUCUCAUUCAAAGAAACUAGCUGGCCCUGCGCUUCAAAAUGAUCCCUUUCCUGUCUUGGGAGAAGGAAAUCGAAGCAGCAUUGUGAGACUGAUGGGUAGAGUGCCUGUUUUGCUGAAAUGUGAUUUCUCACAGCCUCCUUGGGCCACCCCUCUGGCUGCUUCUAGCUAUCUAGAGUGGCAGAAAGCAGGCCUUUGGCCUCUUCUGCACUCUCCAACCUGUUCAGGUCAGAGCAGCCAGAGGGAUUUGAUUAAAAAUCAACCAGAUCAUGUUAUUCCUCAGCUUAUAUGUGCCAACAGCUUCCAUGUUCUCCUAACCUCUCUCCAGGGUCCACAGGCUUCUCCAUCACCCCUCACACUCCAACUACAGUCUCCCAUCCACCUCAUUUCCCCAGCCCCCCUCCUUCCUCAGUGGCCUCACUAUUCUGAUCAGAACACAGCCAAUCAUCCCCCAUGGUCAAGAAUAAAUGCCUUUGGUCACAUGUUUUAAGUGAGACUACUCCUGUCUACAGACAGCCAUCAAGGUAGAUUCCACAUCCCUCUUUUCUCACCAGACUGCCCUCUAGUGGCCACCCAUUGAAUCUCUCCCUCUUCACUACUGGCCAUCACCUUUAAACCACUCCUGCCAGAAUCACUUUUCCAGAAAAUUCACCGGGACACAUCAUUUAUUCCCUUAUUUACCUAUUUCUAGAAAAUAAUUUAUAAUUUCUUGACCUUGUUCACAAGGUUCCCCCCAAAUCUGGUGCUAUUACUUCAGCCUUGUCUCAAUUCCCCCACUCCCACCUCACCCCAUUUGACUACAUUCAUAAAACUCACUUUCUACUGAUGUCAUAUCCAGAUCUAUCUAACUGAUAAAUUCCAACGUGCAAUGCAAGACCUGGUCACCAUGAUGCUUGUGAAACCAUCUUCAACUCCACAAGGCCCCCUCCUGUUCACUCUUACUUGGUUACUGCACAUAGCUCAUUGUUUGAAAUAUUUCUGGACCCAGUACAUCAAACAAGUAGGAUUUGUAGAUAUGAUCAAAUGCACCUUUAGUUUCAUUUGAUCAGGACAAUUCUUCUCCUGACUUUAGAUGAAAUCUGGGACAAACUUGUGACUGUUCUGAUAGUUUAGAACUUUUGUAGGCACUACUAGUGGCAAACAGUGUCCACAGUCAGCUGUAGAGCUGUACAGCUCACCACAGAAGCCCACACUGGGUCCUCAGGAGACAUGAGUUUCUCUACUUCUCUUCCCCAGCCAGCUGCAGUGGCAGAGCUGCUGCCUUUGAGGAGGCAGCAGUCACCUUCUAGCCUGCUGGCCUCCCUCUAUUGGUAGCUUUAGGAUCUGACACAAAGUCCACUCAUCACUCCUGCAAGGCUGAGUGACACUGUAACUCUUACAUUCUUCAUGCCUGCAAAGUCAAAAUUACAUGAACAACAUCAAGGUAUGCUGCCAGUGUCAGCAGUAGCCAGGACCACAUGGACCAUGCCUGCAGAGGCCUCUGAGUGGCCUCUGAGCAUGGUAAAGUGAAACCCAGGGAGCCAAUUCCCUUGGCAAUCCUACAGAAGCAGGGAACACUAAAUCUUUCUUCUCAAAUGAAAGAUUUACAAUUUUAUAUCCUUAGCCUAUGAUGGGUGGGGUCUUGCUAAUUCUAGAUAUACACUCAGGGCAUCUUUCUUAUUUUCCCAAUACAAAGUUUUUGGCUUCUUUUUAAUGGCACCAAUCUCUUCAGCCAUCACAACUUCUUUAUACAGUUCUUUUCUGACCACACUGCAAGUUUUUUUAAAUCUUUCUAUUCGGCUUUUUGUUCCUGAUUCUCACUGUAAAUCUGGCUAAAGGAAGCCAGAAAUAUCCAUAUCAUUGCUUGAAAUCUAUGCUGUCUUGAAAUUUCCUCUACCAGAUAAACUAGGCUGCCACCAUUAAAUUCAGCCUUAUACAAAAUUUCAGGGCAUGGACAAAAUGUAGGCAACUUCUUUGCAGAAUGUAACACAAAAAGCCUCCAGUCCAAUUCCCAAGAAUCUUCAUUCCCAUCUGAGACAUCAUAAGCACAGACUUUAUUUGUCUACAUCCCUUUAUUUGUCUAUAUUCUGGUCUUCUGAGUGCACACAAGAAUCUGCUAUUAAGCUCUGUUUACAAGGUUAUAGGCAUUGUCCAGCCUGCUUCUCAACACUUUUUCAAAUUCUCCCAGCUAACCAGUUCUGAAAGCUUCUGAACUACAUAGCAAAGAUCAGCCACAGCAGCAACCCCACUCUCAGUAUAUUUCUCUGUGUGUGUGUGUGUGUGUGUGUGUGUGUGUGUUAGCUUUUCAUCACUGUGACAAAAUGUCUGAGAAAGCAUGCUAUUCCUGUUAUGUAAAAUCUAAAAAGGUGACAAGAAAGUAAAAGAGAGAAUAUUAUUAGACAAGAUGAAUAAGAGGGAAGGGGAGGAGUAUAAGAGUGGGUAAUAGGAGGAUGGAUAUGAGUAUAAUACUUAGACACAUUGAAAACUUCCCCCAAAAAAAGGGGAAAUGGAGGGAGGGUGGAGCAAGAAGGGUGAUGGGGUGAAAAUGACAGUGUAUGGUAUGUGCGUGUAUGAACCUCCAAAAUGAAAUCCAUCAACUGUAUAACCAAUUCAAAAAGAGUGGAACAAAAAGGAAGAAAAACUUAAUGGAGGAAGGUUUGAUUUUAGCUCAUGGUUUCAGAGGUUUCAGCUAAUGGUUGGAAAGGAGCCCCCUCCUUCUUCUCUCCUUUCUUUCUUCCUUCUCUUCUCUCUCUCUCUCUCUCUCUCUCUCUCUCUCUCUCUCUCUCUCUCUCUCUCUCUCUCUCUCUCUCUGUCUCUCUCUCUCUCUCUCUCGGAUGUGAUGAAGAAGCAUCUUUCCUCUGCCACAUCAUUUUGCUAUAAUGUUCUGCCUCACCACAGGCCUGAAGCAAUGAAGCUGGCUGACCAUGGACUGAAACUAUCAGCCAAAAUAAAUCUUUCCUCCUUUAAACUGUUAUUCUCAAGGAUUUCAUCACAAUUGUUAUGGCUUGUAUCUAGAUGUCCCCUCAAAGCUUCAUGCAAUCAUAGGUGGGUCUUUUUCAGAGGUGGCUGGAUCUAGAGUGUGUGAUGCUGGGAUUAAGGGUAUGUGAUUACUAAAUUAGUACACUAAUUGGUUUGGCAUAGUUCUGGGUAGGAUAAGGGUGCCCCGUUCUGGGUGUGAGUGCCAUUUUUCCUAAGGGUAGGUAGCCUGGAUAAAAUAUAAGGGACAGAAAGAGGGAUAGUGCUGUUUGCCACUUGCUGCUUGCUGCCUUCUGCCUUCUGCCUGCCAUGAACUGUUACCCCUUUUCCAUGCUACUCUGCAUUGGAACCAGUCAACUAUGAACUGAAACCUCGGGCUGGGGUUGUAGAUCAGUGGUGCCGUGCCUGUCUGGCAAGCACAAGGUCCUGAGUUCAAUUCCUGGUACAAAAAAAGAAAGCUAUGAACUGAAACCUCUACAAUCUGUGAGCUCACUCACUUACCAAGCCUGGACUCAGGGGCAAAAUGGCCCUCACCAUCACCACAUGUUGGGGCUCACAGUAGGGCCCUCUCCAUGAAAUCCCUUUAAAAACAAUGAUCCCAUAAACUCUGCCAUCCCUUUUACACUUUCACUCAGCAAAAAAAGGCCCAGAAACAGAUUGACUGGUUUUCUGCCAAUGUGUCUGCAAAUGCUGUACACGGUCAAGCACUCACUUUGGGAAGCAGUAUCCACUGCAGCUUGAUGCCUUGGCUGAAACUUCCAACUUAUUAUCUUGUGUGGAUCUCUCUUCCCCAGGAGGCAAUUUCACUCUCAGGGAGGGCCAAGAAUUUGGACUUCUGUACUUCCACUAAGAAAGAGUCAUCAUACUUUUCCUCUCCCACUCCACUCAGUGCACUUCUAUUGAUUUGCCUGCUUAUUCCAUGUAUGUCCUUGGGCACACUCAGCCCUGUCCCUGCCACCUUAUCCUCAGGUUGCCCAUCACCGGUCCCUGUCACCAAUAGGUGCCUUCUAAUUGGUCUCCCUUCAGGCACUCUGGUCCCCAGAAAUCCCACACUUUACAUUAAAGCCAGGGCCAGCUUCUUUGUCAUCAGUCUGAUUGUAUCCUCUUCUUCGUUCCAGAACUAGCUGAUUCUCUGAAAAUCAAAAUAAUGCAGUAUGCUAAUUAACUGUGCUGUCAACUUGAAUAAGAAACACCCAUCUGAUUGGUUUAACACUGUUCUGGGUGUGUCUGGAUGAAGUACGGAAGAGGGAAGAUACACCCUGGGUGUGGGUGGCACAAAUCAAUAGGUUUGUAGCUUGGGAAAGAAGGAAGUCUCACUUGUGUUUCUUCAGAGAAGCUCCAAUCUUUACCAUUGCUGUCGGAUGUCCAUCUUUAGGCUUUCAGUCCAGACUCUUCAGCUUCCUGAUACUCACAAAAGACUCUGCAGUGAGCUCCAAGUCUUUGACUUUUGACUGGAUCCUUUGGCUCUCCAGCACACAGAUGGCCCUUUUAUAGUUCUCCAUACCUGAUUCUGCAGGGACCCAUUGUAAGCCUACCUUGUAAAUCCAUGUAGCACUGACUGAUGCACGUGGUUAACAUGGCCUACCUCUUCUCCACAGGGUAUUGCUUGUCCUGUGCUAUAGCUUUAUCCUUGCCCGGUUCCCCUUCCUUUUCCUAGCAAGAGCCACACAGAAUUUCCUCAGGGUUCCAAGCCUCUCCUCAUGCAGGGCCUGGGAUUGCUCCCCCUGCUUCUCUACCUUCCUCUCCUAAGACCUCUCCACGUUUCUCAAUCCCAGGUCAUGCUGCUGGGUUAACCUCUCACAGCACUUGUAGCUCCCUGUAGUUCAGUUUGUAAUUACACAUUAGCUGUGAGAUUUUUUAUUACUUUCAUUUCUCUGGUUAGACUCUGCUCUAUGAAUGCAAUGACUCUGUGUGUCUUUGUUCCUAAAUCCUUGAUGAGCCUGGCCCACAGCAGUGGCUCAGAAAAUAUGUAUUGAAUGAAUAAGGUGACAACACCAUGUUUUUGAUAAAUGAUAUCAAAUAAACUACAAUCAUCAUCUGACUCCCAGCUCACUUACACAUUUAUUCAUUCAAAAAUAUUUAUGGAAGUCCUUCUUCUGAUGGAAGAUCAAUGGCUCUUUUUCUUACUAUAAUAUACUGAAAGACACUGCCCAGGUUGCAGGGAGUACCCUCAAAUAGUUCCAUAGGUUCCUUAGGUUCCAUAGUUGCUUGCAUGAGUGUUUUACAUUUACAUUUGUAAUACAGUAAUAAAACAUUUAGACAUCUCACAGCUGUCACUAUAAUUUUUCUUACAGAGGAAAUGGGUUUUCUUUGAGAAAACAUCUUCGGAAGGUGGUAGAUGGAGGAUGAACUGCAAGUUGGGCUCGGCAGACCUGGCACUCAGAGACUGCUUAAACUGCUGCAGAGAGGAAAUAGAAGGAAUGUGAUCACUGUCGGGAGGGAGGUGGGGAGAUGAGGACAGGGAGGCAAAGAAGGAUGAGAGGGAAGACAGGGGUCAGAGCAGUGGAACUGGGCCAGGCCCCGAGGAAUGCCUAUGUCGGGAGGCUGCCCAGACCACGGGAAGCUGCCCUCCCCUAUUCCCUUUCACUCUGGAACCUGUGACAACUGACACUAAGGAGAGGGCUGAAUCUGAUGUCUGAAUGGUCAACAGCCAGAAGGAAUAAACAGCCCCUAAACAAGUCUGAAGGCAAAGAGGGCACAAAAACACCAGUCCUUGAGAAAUUUUAUGGAAAAGGCUUGCAACUUUCUAAAGAAGCACAUCUGAGGUAUGCAAGCCAUCUUAUCUGUUUGCCCAUGAAUUUGAAAAAAAAAUGAUUUGGUUCUAUUAUAUGUGCACUCACACAGACUGACAUAAAAAUUUGUUAUUGGUGGUGGGUUUUUCUUAAGUUCUGGGGAUCAAACAUGGGGCCUCACUCAUCCUAGUCAAGCACUCUGCCGCUGAGGUAUAACCCCAGCCCUGUUUCUUCAUGAGGUGUUAUUACUAUUCAAGUGCCUUUGAUGUGACUUUGGAUCUUGAUAGAGAGGUUUUACUUAGAGAGAGCAGGUUUGAAGAGCUGUAGGAUCUGUGUCUAAGCAUGAGUGUAUCUCAAACUUCUCCUGCUCCAGGUAGCUCCAGCCCCUAGGGACCUUCUUCCCUGCUAAUGAAGUCCCAAGGUCCUCUCUCCAUGUCCUCAUGUACUCUUGACUGUCAGUUCAGCACUCCACUUUACUUUGCAUUGAUCUCACCUUUGAGCCCAUCCUGUGAGUCCACUGCCUCCCCUGCUUAGAUUGCCACUUCUGCCAGACACCAUAGGUCUUCCCCAACACUUCCCAAAGAUGUGCCCGGAUGGUCUUGAGCUCCUGAGAACUCCUGACAACCUCCCCUCACUGGGCUGUGCUGCCAUUAGCCCAGUACAACCCAAUCCACACAUACACACAUACAUGGAGAGAUACUUACACACACACACACACACACACACACACACAGCCAGACUCUUUGCCUGAUGAACCACUUGAUUGGUUUUAUUGGGUAGAAAUUAAGGGUCUUUCAAACACAGUGACAGACACAAAGUACCCUGAUAAUAUUUUUGGGCCCAGAGUGCCAGCCAUCACUGCAAAAUCACUACUCAAGGACAGUCACACGCAGCUAGAAUUAUAUUGCUGGAGUUUUAUGAACCAAAUGCUCCCACAAUAAUAUUUGCAUAAAACUAGGGUAGUGGUGUGACCUCUUCUCCUCAAGUCUUUCCAACUGACACAACUUGUUUCUCACCAGGGCCAAGGGGAAGGCAAAUCAACAAAACAAGAUGUUGCUCUACAUCCCAGCAAAUGCAGUGGACCUCCCUUUCUUUCUCCAGUGAAAAAGGCUCCAUGGAGUACCGCAUAGCAUGACUUGGCUCUUGGAAAGGAAAGCAGGGAGGAAUGGGUCAAGCAAUGGAUAGAAGCCAUUCAGAGAUGAGUCACUACCACCAAGCCCUUGGGACAAGCUCCUCUGUCUGCCACCCAGGCAGGACCUCUGGGCUGAAGCCUCACCAGGUACAGAGCUGCAGACAAUGGGCAAGCAGCUUCCUUAGCUUCUCUGCUGCCCCCAGGAUCUGUCCUGGUUUUGUUUGGAGAAGAGAUGGCAGGGAAUCAAUUUCAGAUGAACCACUGAGCAACCCAAGGUCCUCUUUAGAUGAAAUGAUCAUUUAAAAAGUACAUUCACAUGUACACUUAUUUCAUAGUUCUGACAAUAUGACAUUGUUAUGGCUCUCUGCAGGGAAGUCAGUCCUAUCCAGAAAGGGAAUCUGCAAGCCAUCUAACCCCUGCCACCUCCCUAACUCUUGUGUGCAGAGAGUAGGGCCCUCAGAAAAGACUGGUUGCCUCACAAAGUGACUUCCACCCUAGGAACUUGCUCAGAAGUCAGCCACAAUGAGGGCCAAGCAUCACCCCAGAAAAAUAUAUAAUAGGACUGGCUCCCAGGGUCUAGCAGGAGCUGUCACUCAGGACCCACCAGCUUCCUCACAAGUGGUCACAGCAGUGGGGUGGACUGAUGUCACGGGACCCAAUGCCCACUCCCUCCACACUUCCAUUUUAUUUAAGUCUGUGGCCCUGGUGACUGUCAAAUACAACUGCCUCCCUUUGCCCCACCAGGAACUUUCAGCCGGCACUGCUGGGUGCCCUAGCCUUGGCCUCCAGGCAGGAAUGAAUACUCAACAAGCCCCUCCAGAGACAACGCACAGGGUGCGAGUCCAAGGGUAAGGCCUAGACCUGGACCAUACUCCGGAUCAGCUAGAUCACCCCAAUGAGAAGAAAGCCAGAACAGGGGCUAGAGUAGGACACUGGCCACCUCUCCCUGCCCUCUAGCCUCUCCCACUUUGGGAAAGCUUGUGCACCCAAGGGGAGACCUCCACCAUUAAUCACAGGUGACCUGGGCAUGGCACCACCAUCUUCUUGGACUGGAGUCAAAUAGGACUGCUACUGUCUGCCCUAUCCUCCUCCCAGGAUGCAACAAAGCCCAGUGAAAAAUGGAUGGUGAAGGUGUUUAGAAAGUGGAAGUGUUCACUUGUGAGCAAACAGUCAUAUUUUUAAGUUCAUACAUGAACCCAGGCCUGAGCUGCUGCAGAGGCUGCCCUGGCUCUAGCAAGCUUCCUCCCAUGUGCAAAUAGCUCAAGUAGAGCAGAGGUACAGAAAGAGGAUGUCCUGGCCAAGCCAUCAACACAACACAAGGUCCCUUUGAGGUGUGAAGGUAGAAGGGGCCUGUUUCUUAUUUCUUGAGAGAGAGGUAGCAGUAAUUGCCACUGUCUGAAGGGAAAGGCAAGUAGAAGAGAGGCCAUUUACUGAUCUCAGAUGUCCUGCAUCACCAGAUAAUGAGCUAUUUCACCUACAGGAACUCUGAGGUCACUGAAGACUGAUCUUUUAAGCACCAAGACUUUGAUGACCAUGCUAUAAGUGUUUGGGGAUGGAAAUAAUUCUACAGUGGAUAAGAUCCCUGCUUGCCUUCAUAAAGACAGUAUACUGUUUUGUGUGUGGCUGUGGAUGUCAAAGGCUGAAUGGAGCAGAAAUGCUCUGUUGAUCUGGAGGGUGUUACAAUCUCCCUAAUAUCCCUGCUCCUCCAUUUGGUGGCCUCCAGUCACAUGACAGUUGCUGACAUACAUGGAUUUGGUCUUUGUAAUACAUUCACUAUUAGACUAUUAGCUGCUAUUUCUUGCUAUAUCUAGCACCUGUUAUCAUUCUCUUCAUUUGCUUCAUUAUUAAAAAACCAAGACCAAGUUCACUAGAAUUGAAUUUAAAAUUAAAGUGAAAGGCAAGAGGGAUUCAUUGUUCAAAAAUGGUUUGGCCUUUGAUACACAGCGUUACAGUAUCUAUUUCUGGGGUUCAAAAUUCAUUUUCCUUCCUCUGAGUCUUCAGCUACCUUGGGGCUGAGGGAACUUGCUGGUAAGUAGAUCUGGGAAGUGAAGUGUGCUAUCUUCUUGUUUUAGUAAAAUGGUAACCAUUUUCUCUUUUAAUAAGUUUUUCAAGAUCUUCGGGUGUUCUUGCGAACUUGGUGGAUUAAUGCUGCAUUCUGAGCUGCCACAGGGUUGAAGCUGCACCUGCCAGGGACAUCUUCAGAGCAAAGAAUUUGCCUGUGGUUGGAGAUGAAAGCAGACACCAGGUACUAACUGUUUCAACUCAAGUUUUUCCAAAGGCAGGUAGAAAAGGAAGAGGAUAAUGAAGUAGGGCCACACCAGCCUUGGCCACUGUAGUAUGUUCCUUCAUUGUCACUUUGCAGGUAUACUUUGAACACGUUUUCUGGGUAUGUUCUACUUUCAGCCAGGUGGGCAGGUAGGUCCUCCCUAUGCUACAGUGUGCCAUGGGGGACUCGGAUCCUACCCCAGGACUAGCCACAAAAUGACCUCCAAGCUCGAGUCACUCACCUCUUGGUUCUGAUCACAAAAUGCACCCUAAUUCUAGGCACAGAUGGAUACAAAUUUUGGGCACACUGAGUUUCCUAACCUUGGGAGAACUCUGUUACUUUGCUGUAGAAAUAUUUCAUCAUGUUUAUUUAAAUGUUUAAACUGUUCAGAAGAAGAAAGGCCCAAAUUAGAUUUGGGGGAAGGGGCCUCCAACCAAGAAAGAUAAUGUGGCAGAACUGGGACAAUGUAGUUGAAAGAUCACCCAGGGCAGUGGUCCUCACAGUGUAUCACCAGAUCACGGGAACUUGCUAGACAGGUUCCACACCAGCCUUCUUAACCCUGAAACUCCAACAGGGCCCCGAACUAAUGAGCUCAGGGUUGAGAACACAAAUUCUAGAGGAGAUAAAACUUGUAUAUCAAAGCUGAACGGAUCAUUUAGUUGAAGGAAUUGAGUGACUUCAUUACCAAGGGGACCAUCUUCAGACUGGAAGGAGACAGUCACUGAUUUCUGGCUUUUGGGGCAAAAGCUAAGGCUUACUUGGGUCUAUUUUUCUCCCUUUUUCUUUGAAUGAAAAUUUUAAAAGCUCCACCGUAGAAAUUAUGCAGGAAGAAAAUGUUCAAAGACUUCUAACAAAUUGGCAAGACUGUCGUCACUGAGGACCCAAGCUGGCCAGGACAGCUGAAUCCUCUGGCAAAGCACGAGUAGGUCUGCACUUGGCCUUGGCAAACUGAGGGCCCAGAACAACUGCUCAAAACAAAACAAAAAUCAGAAUUCUGCUAGAGGAGCCCAGAAAACAGUUGUCAUUUGAGAGCAGCUUGUACCUUACUAAUUCUUUACAUUUAGAAAGUGUGCUACAGUAAGUGAAAUAAGCCUGCCAAAAGAAAAAAAAGGACAAAUAUUGCAUGAUUCCACUUACACAAGGACCUACAGCAGAGAAAGCCAUAGAGACAGAAAGAAGAGUGGUUGCCAGGUUGAGGAGGGAGAGGAAAUUUGUCAUCAUUUAAUGGGUUCAAUUUUUUAAUUUUGAAAAAUGAGAAGAUUUCUAGAGAUUCAUUCCACAUCAAUGUGAAUGUCCUUAACACUACUAAACUUCACACUUAAAAAUGUUUACACUGGUAAAUUUUAUGUUUGUGAAUUUUACUACAAUUAAUAAUUUUUUAAAAAGACAGAAAUCUUUGUUAGUGGUGAAGCAAAACAGAAUUAGUAAGUGUUAUAGAUUGCUGGAGAUUUGAUUUUUGUUGCUAGGUUUACAGUAGGUUCUAUUUUAUAUUUGUAGAAAACACAGCAGUUGGAUUGUGGGCCAAAAUUCUUAUUUUCAUUCUUUUCCCACUCAAGACUCCAGUCUGGAUUUCAAGCCAGAUGCAGCUGCUCACCCACAAACAGGUGUGCAUGCAAGGCCCAGGCAGGGAUGUCACACAUGCUGACUGCUGGGCAUCACCACUUCGAUCUGGAUUCUGAGUCCACUGGUUUAACAAACACCUAGAGGACUGUAAUGCAGAGGACCUAAGGUCUACCUUUGAGGAAUACACUGCCUCAAUUAGGAUGUCUUGUAGACUACUCAGCCUCAUUUGAGUAGACCUCCCAAAGACCAGGAGGUCCACCCUGCUGACCCUACACCCUUAGCCUGCCUUCACCUGACCCAUGAGCCACAACUGGCCUCCUCCUAGAGGAGCAUUCUGGCUGCAGAGACAGGGGAGGGUGUGUUGAACUCAAAGUAAGACCACUGCCCGCUUCCCCCAAGGGAACAACUCCACGCUCCUACCCUUCCACUGGGUAUUUACAGCAGACAUUCUGCAAAGCCCAGUUCAUCUGUUUCCCACCCCUCCAAAAAAGCAUUUUCCUCUAGUUUUUUGAGACACUAUCGAUAAAUACUUUGUAUACAGCAACCCACCUUGAACCUCAGCUGCAGUAAUAUAAGAUUCUGACAUAUCUGUAAAGUUUAGAAGAUGGGAAGUAAGGGAAAGGAAGAAAAGCAGAGGAUGUCUGUCCCUUCUUUCGUUUGAGUUAGAGAAACAGGACUGCUUAGCAAGCAAGAACCAGAUGAAUAAGAUUAUGGAGGGGGGGUGGACUAAAAUAAAGGAGAGCAGGACUGGGCAAGGCCCCACUAUACAGACAGUUCAGCCCCUGGGCCCCAAGCUUGCCAAGGACCAACAAGGGGAGGCUCUGCCUUCUUAGAAUGUACUAGGCAAAAAGAAAAGAAAGGAAAAGAAACGAAACUCAGCUAACCUCAGCUGGCAAUUUUCCCACAGUUUUUCUUGGUUUAUUAGUGGAGUCUCCCAAACCACUGGAGCCCACUAGGAACCAGAGACCUCAUUACUGGAGUAAAUGUGUGGCCCUGUGCCAAUUCGGGGGACACAAAGAUGAGCCAGAUAUCAGGUUUUCCCUGUGGGAAAAGCAGAUCCUCUACCAAGGACACAGGGUGUCCUUGACACUUAUGACAUUUAUGCUGUGUCCUCAGAGGGUAUCAGUAAUGGUCACAGCAGAAGCACAGAGAAAAGAGUGUCCAGCCUGGUACAGGGAGGGGAGAUGGCAAAGGUCAUAACCUGACAUCAUCUGUGAAAGUGGUCAGACAAGAGGAGAUGCGGAGGAGGAAGGGUGUGUGGCCAUUCCUGGCAUCCUGGAAGGACAGUGCCUGGAGGGGUGUGGGAGGAGGUGGGCAGGAGGGUCUCAGAGAAAAGGGAGCCAACUUGGGAUGUAGCUUGUAGGACUUGAUAAAGAACCUGGGUGUCAUAGUACAGGGAGGCAUUGGCCCCAGGAAACAUAUUUCAGAUGGGAACUCUGAAAGCAAAAAGGUCAGUCAGAAGGUCCUGCAUUAGUGCAAUGACAUAAGGGAUGCAGGAGGGAAUGAACCCAAGAGAUAUUUAUGAUUGGACUUGACAAAAGCUGUUGAGCAAAUAAACAUAGAGGGUGAAAAGGACGAGGUUGACCAGAGCAGAGGGAAUAUAUGCUGCGUGUCCAGCUAGAGUUGGCACUGUGCUGGACAGUGUGCAACACUAUUUCCUUCCUUUCUUUCUUUUUCUUUCUUUCUUUCUCUCUCUCUCUAUUUUUGGUAUUGGGGGCUGAACCCAGUACCUUUGCACUGAGCUACAUCUCCAGCCCUUUUUUAUAUUUUGGAGAUAGGGUCUCAGAAAUUGCACCACUUGGGCUCGAACUUGCACUCCUCCUGUCUCAGCCUCCCAGAGUGCUGGGCUGAGAGGUCUAAGCCACCAUGCCCAGCCAUGCAACACUAUUUCAUUCAACCUUCACAAUAGCUGAUGCAGUUGGAGCCCUGUCCUCAUUUUUGAGAUAAUGAAUCAGAGCCUCCAGGGGCUUUGGGAGCAUCCCAAGGUCACAAAGCUGCUAAGCAAUGGGAGGAGGUGCCAGAGUCCAGGUUUUUCUUUUAACUGCAGCAGUUGAGGGCAGGUUGAGGUUUGAACUGCGGAGCAGAUGUGCCUGGGGCGCCAGUGGUCACACCCCAGAUGCUCCUGGGGCCUGGCCUGCAGGGGCAGGGGGCUAAGAUGAAAGGGCAGGAGAUGCUGGGAGCAGUGAGUAAAUGGAGUUUCUGCAGGAGACUCCCAGAGAGAGAAGAGAACCCUGAGGAAGCUUCACAGUAGAGUCACAAGGAAGCCUGAGGAGAAGCGUUCAGAGAGGCCAGGUAAGAACAGAUUGGUGUACACAGGAGAGAGAACUUCAAAAAGACCAGAAAGACCACCGCUGUCUAAUGCUGCACAGCCGCCAAGGAUGAGACCUGAGAAUUCACCCCUGCCUUGGCAGUGACAACCUUUACUCUGCCAAUUUUAGGGUUCAGAACUGACUCUGCCUCCCCUUCCUCUCCUCUCCCGGGUAACUGUCCCGUCAGAAACUUCACGACACUCUGCACCCGAGAGCUCCAGUGUGUUUGUUGGCCGCUCCAUUUACCAUCCACUCACACACCAGACUAUGCACCUGGGGGACUGGGAAUCUGCUUCUGAUCACCACUUGUUCCCUGGCCCCUAGCAAAAUGCUUGGGACAGAAUGAGCACUCGGUAGAUACUGGGCGAAUGACUGGUGGAAGGUGGCACUCUGGUCUCCCUUUGUUGUGGAAAUCACUGCCUCCUCCUCCUCAGCAAAGUCCAAGGCCAGGAUCCUCUCUGUUAUCUGCAGCAUCAGGCGAUUAGUGACAGAGUUGCUGCCACAGCGUUGCUGAACUGGUCCCAGAGGUCUGUCUGACCUUGAGUCACCUUCUUUCCUGCUUGGUUAAGCAUUGAGUCAUCCGUAGUGUUUUGCUGCCUUUCAAGCCUGGAGCAGUGGGUUUAGCAGAAAGGAAGACAUGAUAGCUGUUUUGUUCAUGGGAAAUUGAUUUCCUCUAAGAAUGUAACUGGCAGUCUGCACCUCACAGAGGGACAGUGGCAGGGCUGCAGAGAAGCACGGAAGAGGGCUUCCAGAAUCAAUGCCCAGAUUUCUCCUAUAAACACUGGCUGGAGGAGAAAGGAUGUGGCCUGAAAGUCAGGCAACUGCAUGAGUCCCAGUUGAGCCUCUAGCUGGCCAUGUGGCCCUGGGCAAGUCACUCAUUUUGCCAUAAUACAUACCCUUUCUGGGCAUCUCUUCCCACCCAAAGCAUGUGAAGUUGGCCUCAGUUCCCCUCCAGGACUCUUGUAAGUGGCCAGUACUGUUGCAUGGGGCAGGGCUGGGAGAGGGACCAAGAGCAGAUACUGCCUUCUACACCCAGGACAGCUCCCCAGAGCAUCUGUUCCUAGGGCAGGACCUAGUACUACCCUGUGGAGGCAUCUCUAUUGGGAUCUCUCUUGUUCUAGCCCUGGCAAUACCAGCUGGGGAGCUAAGACUGAUGUUUGAAGGUCAGGUUUUGGGGUCCUACAGACAUGAGUGCAGUGCUUUCCCUUGGGUGCCUGAUCAUGGACAAGUCCCUGAGUUGCCCUGAGCUUCACCUCCUCGCCUGUACCAUGGAGCCUCCUUAUCUGAGGGCCUUGUGAUAAUGGACAAUGAUACAGGGAAAGGCCUCAGUGCAGGGCUGAGCACAGAAUGAGAGUGUGGUCAAUCUUAGCUAUUUCGAUAAUAAAUAGUAGUUAUGGCUUUCAUCCAUACAUCAUGACUGCUUUUAAAAAUGAAGAUUGUAGAGACUCUAGAGAUCUUUUCUAAGCCUCUCAUUGUAGAGAUGAGGAAAUGGAGACCCUGAGAGAGAGACGGAACUUGGUCUAAACCCACAGGCAUAAUUAUGGCCAUAAGUGAGGUGUCCAACUCUCACCUGGGAUGGAUCUCAGUGCUCCUGCAAGGGCCAUGGCUGGAACAGAUUCCAUCCCAAUACCUUCAGCUAUGGAGAUCCUAAUGUCUGACUCACAAAGGCUCCUGCCCCAACACUGUCCACCCAAACCACACCUGGUCCCCAGAGGGCCUCCUGUAGAGGGUCUGUCACACUCAGUAGAGUCCAGGGUGUGACUUGACAAGGUCCCUUCCCUGACCCAGCAUGUUUGCUUAAAUGGGACAAUUGGUCUUUAAGAGCCUUCCAGUUCUGACAUUUCACAGUUUCAGGAACUGGGUUCAACUAACUGAACAGUGGCUAGAAAUCUCAGUUAACUGAAAUCUUCCCCAGAAGUUCCUUCCUUGGGAGAACUAUGCAGAGCCCAAGAAAGCAGUCGUCAUCCACUGUCCUGUAUAGUUGAUCCCAUUUCCCAGCUGUUUGGGCCUCUGUCUCUGUGGCUGCUCCUGUUUUAUUGACCAGCAGACUGGGGCUCAGGGCAGCAUGGGGCUCCCACUCCAGACCUGACCUCAAAACACUGGUGAAAAUCAGCAUCCAGUACAGCCCAGAGCUCAGCACCACCCACUUGCAAGAGAGCCCAGAGAAGAAGGCCUGGCAGAGAAAGGAGUCUGAGCAGGAGCUUGGAGGGCCACCCAGUGCUCUCCUCUCUCUUUCCCAGCUGGGCCUGUGGCUUUGCCUGUUAAACUAGGUGAUCAGGUGGAAGAAGCCUGGCUCCCUGCAG